GGUGCAUCGACUAUGAAGGGGUAAAUAACCAGGAAGGGGAAUAAACUUCCGAGGGAUUGUGUAAAUUGCGACCCUCGCCAGUCUCUACUAGCAAAGAUUAGCCACCACUCGGGAAAUUCGCUAUACAACCGAGUCCAGGAUCUAGUCCAGUCCAGUCUCAGUCGCGCCUCGAAUUUGCUCGAAGUGUACGCAUAGCGUCCGGUUCGUCGGACGGUAAUUGACGACGACAAACGCAUUUCAAUUGGAUGGUCGAGCCGAUGUUACUCAAGUGUUAAAAUCGGUAAUGAUUGGUGUUAAUUGUGCUGCAGGGAGUUUGAACCCAUGAGUUUGCGGAUUGUCACUCGCCACUCGACUUGCGAAUUGAGUACGCUACGAAAAAUUCGUCCCGUGCAUUUUUCAAGAAAUAUAAUUCCUAAAAAUAUGUUUUUCCUGAAUGGCAUCUGUGAAGAAAGCAGCCAAGAGACCGACCGAAAUUCACCACCUUCAGUGGAGUUCAAAUGCACAUGCAUUGUACAAGGUAGUGAAUGUGAAAGGUUAAAUUUGGUUUAUCAUCGCUACAAUACCGUGGAAAAGAAACCAUAAUCAAAAUAUUAUUAGCCAAUUGCAAUUGUAAAUUUCUUGGAUGACGUAGAAUUUCGCAAAGAUAAGUCAUACGAAAAUUAUUUUCGGUUCCAAAUGAAUUUUCACCGUAUCAAGUCCAGAAUCAAUUUUAUCUAAUUAAUGUACAUAUACAAUAUACUGUAAACAUUAUAUGACUCGAAUCAUUCUCAAAUAUGCAGGCAUGAUUGAGAAGAAAAUCCUCCGAGUGUUUAUGAACGGGUUAAACAUAGGGUGAAUACUGAAUACGCACUUCACUAUCAGCACUUUUCAAGAUGGCAAUUGGAAGUAUUAUCUGUGGAGCAAACACUCCAAAAGUGAAGCGAAAGAAGGCAAAGACAACGGAGCGUAGUUGGAUAGAGGCAACUUUUCAGAAGAGGGAAUGUACCAAAUUCAUCCCAAGUGCAAAAGAUGAGCACAGGUUGGAAGAAGUACAGGGAGAUAAGAAUGCAGAAUACGACGUGAUUACCACUUCCAGAUGUUGUUGCGGACAUUCCUAUACUCAUCAUUGUGGGAACGGCGCGGAUGUUCAGAGCUUUCCAAACAGUGCAGCGGCAGAACAUGAACGAGAAUUUUGGGCUCCGGGAAAGAACACUCGUUCCUCUCCAACCGACGCAUACGGCACCAUAGAAUUUCAAGGUCUUCCACAUCCGACAAAAGCUCAAUACGUAAGAUUGGCACAUGACACACGACCAGAGCCGAUAGUUCAACUUUUGUGUAGAGAGUGGAAUUUGGGUUUACCAAAACUUCUGAUCACGGUUCACGGGGGUCGUUCUAAUUUUGAACUGCAACCAACGUUGAAAAAAGUUCUUCGUAAAGGACUUCUAAAGGCGGCCAAAACAACGGGAGCAUGGAUAUUUACCGGAGGCACCAAUACUGGUGUUACAAGGCAGGUGGGCGAUGCUUUAUUACUGGAACGUGCCCAGAGACAAGGGCGAGUUGUCAGCAUUGGAAUCGCACCUUGGGGAGUUUUGGAAAAAAGUCACGAGCUUGUCGGCCGCGGAAGAGAAAUUCCGUACGACUCUCUCUCCUCACCUUGGUCCAAGUAUGCUGUUUUGAAUAAUCGUCAUUCCUUUUUUCUCCUGGUGGAUAACGGAACCGGUGGAAGGUAUGGAGCGGAAAUUGUACUGAGAAGAAAACUUGAGAAAUAUAUAUCAAAUCUCAAACUUCAGCCUUACACGCACAGUAGUAUACCGGUGGUUGCGCUCGUAAUAGAAGGUGGUACAAAUACUAUUAGAUCAGUUUUGGAAUAUGUAACUGACGAUCCACCUGUUCCUGUUGUUGUUUGUGAUGGUUCCGGUCGUGCUGCUGAUCUCAUUGCUUUCAUGCACAAAUACGCAUCCGAGGAUGAAAGCGAGGAAGGUGAUGGUCCGUUGGAAAGUAUGCGGGAACAUUUACUUGAAACAAUAAAGCGAACUUUUAAAGUUUCCGUGGAGCAAGCAAAUCAACUUUACUCUGAACUACUACAAUGUGUUCGCAAAAAACACUUGAUCACAGUCUUCAGGAUAACACAAGAACGACCUCAAGAAUUGGACCAGACAAUAUUAACAGCUUUGUUUAAAUCAAAACAAUUAUCGCCUGCCGAACAAUUAUCUCUUUCAUUAAUAUGGAAUAGAGUAGACAUCGCUCGCAGUGAAAUUUUCGUUUACGGGCAAAAAUGGCCACCUGGAGCUCUCGAACAAGCAAUGAUGCAAGCUCUCCAGCAUGAUAGAAUUGAUUUUGUGAAAUUACUUCUGGAAAACGGAGUUUCGAUGCGAAAAUUUUUAUCCAUUCCUCGUCUUGAGGAAUUGUAUAACACGAAAGAAGGACCUUCGAAUACUUUGGGCUACAUUCUCCGUGAUGUGAGACCGCACAUACCUCGAGGCUACAUGUACACUCUACAUGAUAUCGGUCUCGUCAUUAACAAACUCAUGGGUGGCGCAUAUCGAUCUCAUUACACGCGAAAAGAAUUUCGAAUUCUUUAUACAAGAGUUAUGAAGCGUUCUGGUGGAUAUCAACAACACACGCAUCGUAACAGCUGUGCCCUUACGGGUCGAUCCUUCUCCAGCUCUGGAGGGAAAUCAGGCGGAUUAACUAUGAGUUUAUUAGCAGAGACUUUACCAGCAACGCAAGAUACUGCGCUUUUCGAUUAUCCUUUUAAUGAAUUACUUAUCUGGGCUGUACUCACCAAACGACAGCAAAUGGCACUUCUGAUGUGGCAACACGGUGAAGAAGCUUUGGCUAAAGCGCUGGUUGCUUUAAAAUUGUAUAAAGCUAUGGCUCAUGAAGCUGCCGAGGAUGAUCUCGAAACUGAAGUUUAUGAUGAGCUGCGCGGAUAUGGAAAGGAGUUUGAAAAUAUUGCUCUAGAGCUGUUGGAUUUUUGUUAUCGACAAGACGACGAUCAGACCCAACAGCUUCUUACGUCGGAAUUGAAAAAUUGGUCUGGCCAGACGUGUCUUUCUCUUGCGGUGACGGCCAAUCAUCGGCCUUUGCUGGCUCAUCCUUGCAGUCAAAUUAUUUUGGCCGAUCUCUGGAUGGGUGGACUUCGUACUCGAAAAAAUACUAAUUUGAAGGUUGUCUUGGGUCUAAUGUGUCCUCCCUAUAUUGCCCGAUUAGAAUUCAAAAGUCGCGAAGAACUACAGUUGAUGCCCCAAACAGAGGAGGAGCAUCUCAUCGCUCUUGAAGAUGAAAAUGAGGACAGUGAAUCUGAACAAGGGGUGCCAGUUGGACCAGAUGUGGAGGCUUUAAUUAGUCACGAACAUAGUACAAGUGUGGCUAAAGAAACAAUCGUCCAGGAAAAUGGAAAGGUACUGACGGACACGGACGACGGAAAUCAUCGAUCUUACGGCAUCCUGUCCGAAUAUUACGACAAUAAGAGCAGCAGGCCUCUUCGAUUGAAGAAGAAGCUUUAUGAAUUUUAUACGGCCCCAAUUACAAAGUUCUGGGCAAACGCUAUAGCUUAUGUUACGUUUCUGCUUCUAUUUUCCUACACAAUCCUAGUAAGAAUGAUUGAACAACCCUCCUGGCCUGAAUUCUUCGCAAUAUCUUAUAUAAUCACAAUGGGCUGUGAAAAAAUCCGCGAAAUUGUUACAUCGGAACCAGUUGCUCUUUCUCAUAAAUUCAGUGUUUGGGCCUGGAAUAUGUGGAAUCCCUGCGAUGCAGCAGCUAUUAUGUUUUUCCUGAUAGGCCUUGUACUUCGGCUGCGGCAAUCUACGUUUGAUAGUGGACGAGUUAUUUACUGUGUGGACUGCAUGUAUUGGUACUUGAGGAUGCUGAAUAUUUUAGGCGUUAAUAAAUAUCUUGGUCCUUUGGUGACAAUGAUGGGCAAAAUGAUAAAAAACAUGAUUUAUUUCGUGGUGCUUUUACUUGUGGUCUUGAUGAGUUUCGGAGUUGCAAGGCAAGCUAUACUUAAUCCCAAUGCGGAACCAUCAUGGAGAAUUGUGCGCGAUGUUUUUAUGGAGCCUUACUUCAUGUUAUACGGUGAAGUGUACGCAGACAAUAUUGACCCUGACUGUGGAGCCGAGCCAGGAAUGAUUCCCUGUCUGCCAGGUCGUUGGAUCACUCCAGCCGUAAUGUCAGUUUACCUUUUGGUAGCUAACAUAUUACUGAUAAAUCUACUCAUCGCCGUCUUCAACAAUAUCUUCAUCGAAGUUAACGGCAUCUCCCAUCAAGUCUGGAUGUUUCAGCGAUUUACCGUUGUCAUGGAGUACGAACAGAAACCUGUUCUACCACCUCCUCUAAUCGCAGUCUCUCAUGCGUACUUACUAGCAAAAUAUAUAAUGCGAUACGUUACACAAGGUCAGUUCGGUUCCGGAGAAAAUUGCGAUAACGGAUUGAAGCUCUUUCUCGAGGCUGACGACAAAGAACGGUUGUACGAUUUCGAGGAAGACUGUGUCGAAGGAUAUUUCCGAGAACAAGAACUCAAACUGCAGAUGUCAACGGAAGAACGAGUAAAAGUUACGACUGAAAGGGUGGAAUACAUGCAGCAGAAGAUGGAGGAUAUUGAGAAGAAGGAAAAUAGUCAGAACGCUUCACUUCAGGCUGUGGAAUUCCGGAUUCGAAAACUAGAGGAAUUGAAUGAACAGACUUUGUCACACCUCGGCGUAAUUCAUCGAUUCAUGGCAACUCACAUGUCGACCGAAGGACUGCAGUCCUUGGAUGUGGAAUUUCGGCCCCGUCGAGUAUCAGAGCGUUCAGAAGCAUUUUCUGAAGUAGAUUCUCAAUCUCAACUGCCGAGUGCUCCCUUGAGAAGAAAGAAACUUUUGAGAUCUUUAACGGAUGCAACUUUUAUGCAGACUAUUCCACCAAUUGACGACGAUGUUUUAAAACAAUCUGAAGCCAGAGUCUCUCGAGAAAAUCUAAGCAGGAAUGAUUCUUCCGUCAGUGGAGAUCAGCCACCAGGCCAGGCGGAUCAGAAAAUGGUGAUGAGUCAGGAUGAAAGCGACGAGAGUAAACUAGUGGGAGAAGAGAAACCAAUCAUGAAAAAAGAGACCCAGGAGGAAAAAGCUAGUAGUGAAAUUCGCGCAACUUCUGGAUCAAGGCAGAAUUCUGGGGAAAAAACGAGUAGACAGAAUAGUAGAACUCGUUCUGAGUCGGAAGAUAUGAUGUACCUAACGACACCUGGAACGCAGAGAGGAGUCACAUGGGGUGAACCUAGGGUUUCUGUGAUCCAGCCAUCGAAUCCUAGGUCUCUUAUGCUUGCGAUGAGAGCAGAGUAUACGAGUAUUACGGAUGAACUGGAGAGUUAUUGUGGCCUGCUGAGUCCUCCAAGAUCUCCUCCUGUGUCGCCACCACCGGGAAGAGGAAGGACAAUGUCGGGUUUGUCCAAUUCGGAAAUGGCUUGGCAAGUUGAAAAUGAACAUUUAAGGGACGCGGAGGAGUGCGACUAUCAACAGAUGGAGGAUUUGAUUCAGAGGCGAUAUAUGCAAGGAGACGAAGACAAUGAUGAUAGUGGGCCGGGAGAUAUGGGAUGUCCUUUCUUCGUAGCCAGUGAGUAUCGACAAUUGCGACGAGUUUCCGCAAUAGAUGAGGAUUCACGAAGACAUCCUGCACCAACGAUAAGUGUAACCAGGGAAAUCGAACAAACAUUAUCAAGGCCGCCUGCGAUUCGGGACAGCAGUGAAGAACCCGAUCCGAAUGAAACAGAAGUACCAGCUCCGGCUUCUGAAACAAUGUGUUGACUUAAUUCUUUGUCAGUGGAUUUUUUAAUAUGCCUAAUUAGAUCGGGCAGUACGGAGAAGUAUCAAUUUUUAACUAAUUUAGUAACCGAGCCUCCAGUGGCCACCCUGUAAAUACGAGUUUUAAAUGGACAAAUAAGGAGUGCUAUACAGUAGCGAAAUAAAUGAACGUAAGUAAUUCAUCUCUUUGAAGAAAGUACCCUGAUGCUUUCUGCUUUUGUGAUACUGAUUAUUCAUAUUUUUCACAAUUUUUUAAGCUCAAAAACGUAGAUACGUAUCAAAUAAAGAAAGGGUUAUUCCUUGAAAUCUAAUCACUGAACUGCAAGUGCUACUUAAUUUUAAAGACUUCACAAGUCCUUUAUUAAUGACUUGAAUUACUAAUGAUCAUAAAUGACCUAAUUGUAAAAAUCUACUCUGCGAUCUAUUCUAAGAAUUUUAUCUGUGUCUGUUUAAUAUAGAUGUCAAAUCUGAAAAACAUUUCCUAACGCAUUUGAAGGUGGAUUUAAAGGUUAUGUUGGAACAAAAUGUAAGAAAUGUUUUUACGAUCUGAUAAACCUGCCCCCAAAUGCAAACGUUUUGGAGGACCACAUAAAGUGAACCAUAUCACCGGGAUUUGUCCUAAUAAAAUCUGCCGAAUCUGUGUUAGUACAAUUUCAACUACGAAAAUAGAUUUUAAUGAGAACAAUACUAGAUAAUUGUCCAUAAAAACAUCAACGUGUACACAUGAAAGGGCUUGAAAACAUGAAAAUCCCAGUAGAAAUUUACUGUAGUUUAGCAAUAGGUGAUAAUAAUCAAUUUGGAAUUCGGAAUCAAUACCAUUCACAACUUUCAAGUAUCCCCCCCCCCCCUUUUUUAAAGCGAUUUAUUCAAAUUUUUUAAACUCUCGUGACUUGCGAACAGUGCAAGAUUUAAAAAGUAAAGUUAAAUAAUUUGAAUGGUAUUUUUCUUGAAUAAAAUAAAAUCAAAAAUACUUGUCGCUUUUCUUGAAUUGGGCUUUAUACAAGUGAUUCUAAAAUUCUCUUCACAUCGUUUCUGUAUAUCUUUUUCAUCUCUUCUAAAAUGAGUUUUUAUUACAAUAAUUCUUCAUUAAAAGAACUGGAAAAUUAUUGUGUGUAAUCUUUAAACUGCAUUGAUUCUAAAUUUUUUUGGAACUGACAAAUAAAUGAUUCAUACACAAUAUUGAACUGUAUAAUAUUUGACGAGUUUUUAGUACCAUUUUGAAUCAGUGGCUAUUGCGUACAGUGUAUCUACUUCUAAAAGCUUCUAUUUCAUACUCUAGGUUUGUACCUUUUUCUAGGACAAGAAAGUUUUAAUUAGUACUCAGAAGUUUGAGUGAUUUAGGAAUCGAUUGAGUUCGAUCGUUGGUGAGAUCUUAAGAUAAUAUGAUAUAAACCAUUCUCAUCUGCCUUUAAAUGUUCAAGUCCCAUUUGUGCUUUUCUUUUUUUCAAUUUAGAGCUUGAAUCCCAAAAAAACUGACUUCUUGAAAAAUAAAUUCUCAAGUGAAUUUCUCAAAUAUGUACUUUUCAUAAAAAUCCAACGAUUUUUGCGAUGUAUUUUAAAUAAAUUACUGUACCUGUUGAUAUACCGAAACUCGAGUCUAGUCGAAAGUUACUGUGGAAAUAUCGAAAUAGUUUCACACCUAAUAGCAAUAAUCGAGCUCUAAAUCUAAGAUUUUAUAUUUUAAAGUUCAAAGAAUUUGUGAUAAACAGCAGGCACGCUGUGUUUAUCUGUUACAGUUAUAUUAUUGAGAAUGAAAGGGGACAAAAAGGAUCGAUAAUCAGUUACGUACUUUAAGUGCGGUUCCGAAGAAGAAAAUUAGUUCUGAGUUUCUGUUUUCGGAUGUAAGUGAUUGAAAUGAUAUAAUUUUUUAUGAUUCCGAUUUGAAAAUCUUUAAGCUUAAUAAUUUAAUUCGAAACAUUUUUAAAUGUGAAAUCAUUCAAUCCGCAAUGCGUAAUUCUAUAAUCAUUUACUUUAAGAAAUUUUAUUUUUCAGCCUUAUUUUCUAAUCGUUCAUUUUCUAGUAAACAAAUUUUCAAAUAUAGUCUUUACGUCGUGAACAAUUAAAAAUUAACUGUUUGAAAUUCAACAAUAUUUUAAUACUGAAACUUAACAUUUUAAUACUGAACAUUUGCACAAAAUAAACCAUAGGUAUUAAAUUUAAAGCAGGUAUGUAUAUGCACUAAUAGAGAUAACUACCAGCAGCUUAAGCUAUAUCAUCUUUUUUUGCUAUGCUAAUCAUUUAAGCGGUCACCCUACAUUUCUUUAAAUCCUACAAAAGACUUUAAUUUAAACACUAUUGACUAUGAGAAGCUUUUCGAAAGCGGAUUUUCAUCCAUUGAAUUUAAUUCAAUUUGAAUGUUUUCUAUAUUUAAUGCUUUUAUAUUUAAUUGCUUUGGAAUGUGGAAUAAAAAUAAAAAUGAAUUAGGCACGCAUAAUUGAAUGAUUGCAAUGACACCAUUAAGAAGUUGAAACUAUUAUGAUAUUGAAUUUUUCGUUACGUUAUACAAGCCCAUUUGAAUAAAGAUAAAGUAUUUCUUUCUAGAAUCUAUGAACCUUUAUAAUGUUAAUAUGUAAAUACUAUAAAAUAAAGUAAGAGUCUACUUCGAUGAGACGGGCCCCGCUAUUUUUAAAACAGACCUGCAGUCAGUUAUCCUCGAACGAAAAUCUAUAUUUUUGUCAGUCUCAGGAUGAGUAUCCUGAUUCCAAAAAUGUCUUAUUCAAGCUCUUAUUUCAAUAUUCAUAUGAAGUGAAUUUGAAAGCGAACAAAUAAAAUAUUAGAAGGGACGAUGAAAAAGUAAAAAAAGAUAGAAAAAAGAGUGUGUUAUACUAUAUUUUAGAAGGGAUUCAAAUAUUAUUCGAUAAUGCUUAUUUUUGCAGCGAAAUCAAUCGAAUUGUGAAAGAAACAACCUGUAAAUAUGAUUAUUUAAUUUUGUGACAUGCGACGCGACCUACGUUUAAUCCUACACAUAUUUUUCCUAGUCAGAUACAAAAUCGCUGUGAAUAUAUCAUUCAAGCAUAAUAGAGUAAUUUUAGUUUAGAAUAAUGGGUAGAAAUCAUGUAAAGUUUUUAACCAGUUUUUGUUUAAUCAGCUGAUCAAUUUAUUAGCUGAACACAAAUGAUAAAAUUGUAGAAACCGCUUUUAGUUAAAUGGCUUUAGCGUAAUUUAAUAAGCAUGAUUUUUAAUGGAUCGUUCGAUAAUUAAGUUAACCUUAUCAGAAUUGUGAAUUAAACAUAGAGAUUUAUAUUUUUAAUCGCCAAGGUACACAUACCUAUUUUAUUUCUUUUUUCCUUCGUGAAUAAGCCGAGCGAUUAAUGAAAAUGUACUGGUACUUUAAAUCAAUUUCGGACAUAAUUAAAAUGUUACAUACCUUUUACGUACUCUCGAUAUCAUUAGUAUAAAGAUGUUACAUAAAAAGGAAAUCCCUUUUUUGCACUUACAGUGCUGAAAUCUUUUAUCGAUUUUUUUAUUGGUGCUGAGAUUACAUAUUUUUGAUGAAUUUGAAUUCAAUCGAAUCUCAUCCCACUUCUAUUGGACUUUUAAUAUUAAGUGUUAUAUACUAAUUGUAGAGUACACGUUUUCACGUUUGCGAUGUAAUUUUUUGUAACUUUUGGCUGUUCCGAUGUAAACAAAAUGUUAAUUUUUCAAUUUCUAAAAAUCCUGAUUUCAACAUUCUUUGUAUUUUCAAUGAUUAAUGUUUUCAGGCUUGAAAAAAAAAGUUUCUUUGCUAAAUUAUUUAUAAUAUAUUUAUAUAUGUAAAUUAUACAAAAAUUUAAAGUGAUAUACCCUUCGUGUCUUGUUUUUUAAAUAUGCACGAAAUUGUCUAAAUUUUGAUUGUUGCUGAUUCUUGCAGAUAUUUAAGAUCUAUUUACUAAUACAUUUUUCUAAGUAUCUCUUAUAAUUCUCAAAAGUAUAAAACUUGAUCUCUUUUAGAAAAAUUAUCUUUUAUAUUCGUUACGAUGAUUUGUUCUUCCAAAUAUUUUUCCUGUUAAGAAAUUAAAAUUAUCCAGUAUGGAAACCAUUUACCUUGACAACGUAACUAGUGGUUUAUAUUAAGUGACUAAAAAGCUUGAAUAGGAUGAUCAAUUUUAUCUGCAUCGCUUUCUUACCAAUUCAUGGAACCACUCUGUAAAAAGUUAAAAAAAAAUUCAAUUUAAAAUAGAAAGUUAUUUGAGAAAUAUUGACACUUAUUGGUUAACCGUGUGUGCGUAUUAUUUAAUUAACAAUUGAUUAGGAUGUGACAAUAAUUCAAAAUUAAUAUUUUGUUUUUAUAAGUGUUGAAUGAAAUUGUAUGUACUAAAAAUGAUAUGAAGGUUCUAAGGAAAACACAAGUCCACGUUUUCUCUUAUUAUAAUUAUUCGUGCAAAAUAAACUGUGCGUUUCUGUGCCAAAAAUAUGGCUGUAUCUAAGUUUGCUUAUAGUUUAGCUUAGCAUAUUUAAUUGUACUUCCACGAUAUGAUUAAUGUGAGCCUUAAGCUCAGUAGUCUUAAAUUUGUAAUUUUAAUGAAGAAAAUCCUGUAAUCGAUUAAAUUUCGUUUAAAUCAUGAUAGCAUACUCUGUCAUAAACUUCAGUACUCUAAUUAUGUAAAAUUUCAGACAAUUUUUGUGAAGCUAUAAUUGUGAAAAGUACAAAAGGUGUUCACACGCAGAACGU